rnacentral:rRNA from 1 species
AACGAACGCUGGCGGCAUGCCUAACACAUGCAAGUCGAACGAAGCCUUCGGGCUUAGUGGCGCACGGGUGCGUAACGCGUGGGAAUCUGCCCUUGGGUUCGGAAUAACAGUUAGAAAUGACUGCUAAUACCGGAUGAUGUCUUCGGACCAAAGAUUUAUCGCCCAAGGAUGAGCCCGCGUAGGAUUAGGUAGUUGGUGGGGGAAUGGCCCUCCAAGCCGACGAUCCUUAGCUGGUCUGAGAGGAUGAUCAGCCACACUGGGACUGAGACACGGCCCAGACUCCUACGGGAGGCAGCAGUGGGGAAUAUUGGACAAUGGGCGAAAGCCUGAUCCAGCAAUGCCGCGUGAGUGAUGAAGGCCUUAGGGUUGUAAAGCUCUUUUACCAGGGAUGAAAAUGACAGUACCUGGAGAAUAAGCUCCGGCUAACUCCGUGCCAGCCGCCGCGGUAA